UGAGGAAUAUUGGUCAAUGGACGAGAGUCUGAACCAGCCAAGUAGCGUGAAGGAUGACUGCCCUAUGGGUUGUAAACUUCUUUUAUACGGGAAUAAAGUGAGGCACGUGUGCCUUUUUGUAUGUACCGUAUGAAUAAGGAUCGGCUAACUCCGUGCCAGCAGCCGCGGUAAUACGGAGGAUCCGAGCGUUAUCCGGAUUUAUUGGGUUUAAAGGGAGCGUAGGCGGACGCUUAAGUCAGUUGUGAAAGUUUGCGGCUCAACCGUAAAAUUGCAGUUGAUACUGGGUGUCUUGAGUACAGUAGAGGCAGGCGGAAUUCGUGGUGUAGCGGUGAAAUGCUUAGAUAUCACGAAGAACUCCGAUUGCGAAGGCAGCUUGCUGGACUGUAACUGACGCUGAUGCUCGAAAGUGUGGGUAUCAAACAGGAUUAGAUACCCUGGUAGUCCACACAGUAAACGAUGAAUACUCGCUGUUGGCGAUAUACGGUCAGCGGCCAAGCGAAAGCAUUAAGUAUUCCACCUGGGGAGUACGCCGGCAACGGUGAAACUCAAAGGAAUUGACGGGGGCCCGCACAAGCGGAGGAACAUGUGGUUUAAUUCGAUGAUACGCGAGGAACCUUACCCGGGCUUAAAUUGCAACUGACGGAACCGGAAACGGUUCUUUCUUCGGACAGUUGUGAAGGUGCUGCAUGGUUGUCGUCAGCUCGUGCCGUGAGGUGUCGGCUUAAGUGCCAUAACGAGCGCAACCCUUAUCGAUAGUUACUAGCAGGUCAUGCUGAGGACUCUAUUGAGACUGCCGUCGUAAGAUGUGAGGAAGGUGGGGAUGACGUCAAAUCAGCACGGCCCUUACGUCCGGGGCUACACACGUGUUACAAUGGGGGGUACAGAAGGCAGCUACACGGCGACGUGGUGCUAAUCCCGAAAGCCUCUCUCAGUUCGGAUUGGAGUCUGCAACCCGACUCCAUGAAGCUGGAUUCGCUAGUAAUCGCGCAUCAGCCACGGCGCGGUGAAUACGUUCCC
rnacentral:rRNA from 1 species